rnacentral:piRNA from 1 species
UCACCCUAAGCCCUGAUGUGAUUGCAUCCU